GCCUGUGUUGCUCAGUGGUUGAGCGUUGACCCAUCGAGCCAGGAGACAUGGUUUGAUUCCCAGUAAAGGCA